rnacentral:rRNA from 1 species
AUUGAACGCUGGCGGCAGGCCUAACACAUGCAAGUCGAGCGGCAGCGGGAAAGUAGCUUGCUACUUUUGCCGGCGAGCGGCGGACGGGUGAGUAAUGCCUGGGAAAUUGCCCAGUCGAGGGGGAUAACAGUUGGAAACGACUGCUAAUACCGCAUACGCCCUACGGGGGAAAGCAGGGGACCUUCGGGCCUUGCGCGAUUGGAUAUGCCCAGGUGGGAUUAGCUAGUUGGUGAGGUAAUGGCUCACCAAGGCGACGAUCCCUAGCUGGUCUGAGAGGAUGAUCAGCCACACUGGAACGGAGACACGGUCCAGACUCCUACGGGAGGCAGCAGUGGGGAAUAUUGCACAAUGGGGGAAACCCUGAUGCAGCCAUGCCGCGUGUGUGAAGAAGGCCUUCGGGUUGUAAAGCACUUUCAGCGAGGAGGAAAGGUCAGUAGCUAAUAUCUGCUAACUGUGACGUUACUCGCAGAAGAAGCACCGGCUAACUCCGUGCCAGCAGCCGCCGCCG